rnacentral:rRNA from 1 species
UACGUAGGGUGCGAGCGUUUGUCCGGAAUUAUUGGGCGUAAAGAGCUCGUAGGCGGCUUGUCGCGUCGUUCGUGAAAACCCGGGGCUCAACUCCGGGCUUGCGGGCGAUACGGGCAGGCUAGAGUUCGGUAGGGGAGACUGGAAUUCCUGGUGUAGCGGUGAAAUGCGCAGAUAUCAGGAGGAACACCGGUGGCGAAGGCGGGGUCUCUGGGCCGAUACUGACGCUGAGGAGCGAAAGCGUGGGGAGCGAACAGG